CUGACAUCAGGGAAGAGCAGGUGGGGUGCCCAUUCCAUGGAUGUAUGUGAAGACACACUGUGUGCAGACCUUUCCCAGGGCUCGGCUGUGAUCGCCAGUAGCCAGAGCAGAUGCAACCCCUGCCCUCUGGGGCUUCAGUGCUGUUUGGGGUCCUCAGUCACCCUGGACAGCUGAGCAAGCAUUCCUCGCAAUGCAGUAGAUGGCACUUUCCCGGCCUCCCCAGAUGUGGAUCCACAGCAGUGCAAGAGGAGCCCAGGAGCGGCAGAGACACCGGAGAACACAGCGCUGCAGAGCUAAAGCCUGAGGAGAGGUCCUCCUUUUUUGUCCUCCACUUCUUGGUGGAGCUGCACUCCCAGGAGAAUCCACCAGCUGAACUCCUGGCCCAGCUGGAGCAAGCUGAGCCCACUGAGGCACAGCCCAUGGGACCAGCUCCAGCCCCAACUGAAGUCCCACGUGCGGAGCCCGAGCCAGCUCCACCUGCAGCUUCCUGCCCAGCGCUGGGACCACAGCCAGAGUCCGUGGCAGCCCCUUCACCUGCUGCAGUGCUAGGGCACCCGGUGGUUGCAUGGCGGUCGGUGUCACCUCCUGAGCUCCGCCUGGGGCCAGCUCCUGGCCCCCUCCCACUGUUCCCCUCACUUAUGCUGGCUCUUGCAAUUGUAUUUACAAUUGCCCUUAUUUCUUGGAUUUAUAUAAAUAAUAGAACUAGCUUUUAAUAAAACUUAAAAUUUUAGUGUUUAAAAGGGUCAGCGUGGUGGCCUGAAGUGCCUUCUCCCUGUGUGUGCCCAUCCCCAGAGCACUGUGCUUGGUGGCUCCUGCCCACGCCCCUGGCCACUGCUCCUCUCGUGUACCCAUGGGCACCUGGCCUGCAGGGUUCACACCAGUGCAGUCGGACUUGCCUUUGGCCACACAGUCGUGAGAGGGGCUGAUGAAUCUUGUGCUAUGCAGAAGGGGAAACCCUAGAAAGAUCCUGGCCAUUUUUCAUUGGCUUCUUCAGUAGGUAAUCCAGGUUGUGUUGCCAGACAGGAUGUAUUUAUCACAGUAAGAUAACGUGUGCAGUCUGAAUGAAGGACAGGCGAAGGGCACCGCUGCAGGAAACCCACUGGGCCGUGGCCUCCCCUAGGCGCCCCCUCCUUGUCUGGAUCUCAGGGUUCAGGCUGUGUCUUCCCUGCUGGGAGGGGGUGCGCCACUCCUCAGCUCUCCUACCAUAUCAUUACGUGCGUGGGGACCUGGCCUGUCAAGCUCAACCCCACACAUUCAGAGCCCCAGUGACACAGUUGGCUCAGCAGCCUCUGCCCUCCUGGUUCCAGGGUCCCCGGUGUCUGUGUCAUCAAUGCUGCUUUUUAGGGUGGAAGCCUGGCAGUGGAGACUCCGGUCAUAGUCACAGGAGCGGGGCCAGUGAUGGGCUCCUUCUGUGGAGUCUGCAGGGCAGAGCACGCCAUCCUGGCCGAGCUCCAGGUGACCUCCUGGACAUCAGCUCUGCAGGUCUUUGGGCUCACCUGGGGACAGGCUGCUCUGGCUGCUGUCUGUCUCAGCUCAGAGGACAGAGGGACAGGACAGCACAGCCCCAGCCUGCCUACUUGAAGAUGGACGAACAUUCUCUCCAUCUCUAUUAAAUUUUACUUUUAAAAUAU
rnacentral:lncRNA from 1 species